rnacentral:sRNA from 1 species
CAUGCGUUUCCAUAUCAGUAUCUCAGCAUGUCUCCUCGUUUGUCUGAGAAUCUGUGUGAUAUUUUCCUACCGCUUACAUCUGUGUUGCUUGUGCUAUUCACUUCAAGUUUACGAGUUUAUGCUUACAAUGACAUUGCAGUCACAACAAGAGCUGCAUGCAAUAAUGGUCCAAGCUGACUGAGAAGUUCUCUUCAUAAGAAAGUGGUUCUGUAAGGAUUCUAAGAUGGAUACAGAAAAAUCAGUAGAGGAUCGAUUCUCCAAGCUUCAUCCUUCCAUGCCAGUAAACACCAAAAUUGGAAUAGUGGGUGCUGGUCCAAGUGGCUUAUCAGCUGCUUAUGCACUGGUCAGGCUUGGAUAUAAUAAUGUCACUGUCUUAGAGAAACAUCAUUCAGUUGGGGGCAUGUGUGAGUCAGUAGAAAUU